rnacentral:tRNA from 1 species
UGUAGUCGAGCAAGAAUCAAUCCCAAAAGGUCGGAACGAGGUAUGUGGCUUUCAAACUAGGUUCUGGGUUCAUAAAAGACCUGAAUCAGGAACAAGGGCUAUUAGCUCAGGUGGUUAGAGCGCACCCCUGAUAAGGGUGAGGUCCCUGGUUCGAGUCCAGGAUGGCCCACCUGCACAGGUGGCAAAAACAAAGAAAAGAAGCGAGGAAUCAGCACCUUAUCUUACCUAUAUAGUAAGAGAGAAUGCUGGCUCUGAGUACAGAGUCCAGAGGAACCUUGAAAACUGCAUAGAGCUAGGUGAAAAAGCCAAAAAAGAAGACCGCAAA